AUAUCCCAAUGCACUGUCCUGCAUACAUGUGAUUUUAUCUGGUUGGGAAGCUAAGCAGGAUCAGGCUGGGUUAGUACCUGGGUGGGAGACUAUUACAGAACAUAUGAGAUAUC
rnacentral:rRNA from 1 species